GACGAACGCUGGCGGCGUGCUUAACACAUGCAAGUCGAACGGAAAGUCCCUGCUUUUGUUGGGUGCUCGAGUGGCGAACUGGUGAGUAACACGUGAGUAACCUCCCCUUGACUUUGGGAUAACUUCAGGAAACUGGGGCUAAUACCGUAUAGGACCUCCUGCUGCAUGUUGGUGGUUGGUAAGUUUCGGUGGUUGUGGAUGGACUGGCUGCUUAUCAGCUUGUUGGUGUGGUAGUUGCUUACCAAGGCUUUGACGGGUAGCCGGCAUGUGAGGGUUACCGGGGACAAUGGGACUGAGAGAGGGCGCAGAAUGGAACGGGAGGCAACAGUGGGGAAUAUUGCACAAUGGGCGGAAGCGUGAUGCAGAAAAGCCGGGUGCGGGAUGACGGGCUUCGGGUUGUAAACAGAUUUGGAAUGAGACGAAGAGAGAGUGACGGUAAUGGGUAAAGAAGCACCGGCUAACUACGUG
rnacentral:rRNA from 1 species